rnacentral:lncRNA from 1 species
GCUGUUUGUGUGUGAAAAAUGCAAAAAAAGUAACUUUCACUGACAAUAUCAUCGCUGUGAUAUGUUUUACUGUUUUGAAUCACUAAUAUUUGUGUUCAGCGAAGUCUCCCGAGUAAAACAGUACCCCCCAUGUACAGGUCUUAGGGUGUCGUAGAACGUUACAGGGUAAAAUACAGUGCUAGCAAAUUAAAUUCUCUGGAAUUUCGGCCUGGGUUGGCAGGCAGGUCCCUCAAAUUGCAAUCAAUAAAAUUACUGAAUUAUGUAAAAAUAUUACAUAAAUACGCACGUAGAAUUUAAAUAUAUAUGCAU